rnacentral:rRNA from 1 species
CCAGACUCCUACGGGAGGCAGCAGUGGGGAAUAUUGCACAAUGGGGGAAACCCUGAUGCAGCGACGCCGCGUGAGUGAAGAAGUAAUUCGUUAUGUAAAGCUCUAUCAGCAGGGAAGAAAAUGACGGUACCUGAGUAAGAAGCCCCGGCUAACUACGUGCCAGCAGCCGCGGUAAUACGUAGGGGGCAAGCGUUAUCCGGAUUUAUUGGGUGUAAAGGGUGCGUAGACGGAGAAGCAAGUUAGUUGUGAAAUCCCUCGGCUUAACUGAGGAACUGCAACUAAAACUACUUCCCUUGAGUACUGGAGAGGAAAGUGGAAUUCCUAGUGUAGCGGUGAAAUGCGUAGAUAUUAGGAGGAACACCAGUGGCGAAGGCGACGUUCUGGACAGUAACUGACGUUGAGGCACGAAAGUGUGGGGAGCAAACAGGAUUAGAUACCCCGGUACCG